CGGGGCAGAGCAUGCUCAAUGCAUCUCACUUACACCGAGAAGACAGUCCUUUUAAGCCUUGCCCCGA
rnacentral:tRNA from 1 species